UACAGCCGCUGCGCAGUUGCCGACUGUUACUGGGUCUGAUUUAUGCUACAUGCGCGUUGCUUGACUGAAAAAUCCACCGGUGUACUGCGAAGCAGCUGGAGUGAAGCAGCCGCGCGCUUCUACAUGUGGAAAAUACAAGAAAUCUAAAGUUAAGCUGAUUUGCACAGCUCUGCAAUAAGUUUGUUGGUACACGAGAACCUAUGUGGACAUGGAAUACAACUGGAGGUGAAAGCAUUUUGUGCAAAGUGGACCAGAUGAAGAGUUUCACGCAAGGGUCUAUUUUCUUCACAAGAAAACAUUACACUUACAAAAUAUUGCAUCCGAUCCUAAAGAACUACGAAGGUAUAUUUCGAACGCAACAACACAACAUCAUGCGUCUCCGCAAAGCGGGCUAUAAAA